GUAAUACGCUUUUUGUGUUUGUUAUUGCUUUAUUUUGUAAUUACAGCCGUUCUUUCUCAGUUUUGUACAAGUUUUGAGAGAGUCAGAAUUCCUCAAAAAUCGGUGACAUUGCCCCUUUAAGUCGGUUGUAAUAACAAUUUAAGGAUUUUUUCAAGUACUAGUAGUGCAGUAUCAAUUCAACUAGGAUUGCCACUUCUUUUGUAUGAAUUCUACCUACAAUUAUUUCCAAAUCCCAAAUAUAUUCAAGCGCUUUUAUGCGCCAAAUGUCGAUCAAAUAAUUCUCACCAGACCUAUAAAUUUACCACAUCUCAGGACUUACGCAUGCAACAAUAAUAGGCAUAUGGUAAAACGCGGACUGGACUGGACUGGUAAAACGCGGACUGGACUCAGAUUAGUAAAACGCGGACUGGACUCAGAUUAGUAAAACGCGGACUGGACUCAGAUUAGUAAAACGCGGACUGGACUCAGAUUAGUAAAACGCGGACUGGACUCAGAUUAGUAAAACGCGGACUGGACUCAGAUUAGUAAAACCAUAGAGG